rnacentral:rRNA from 1 species
CGGGGUGAGUAAUGUCUGGGAAACUGCCUGAUGGAGGGGGAUAACUACUGGAAACGGUAGCUAAUACCGCAUAACGUCGCAAGACCAAAGAGGGGGACCUUCGGGCCUCUUGCCAUCGGAUGUGCCCAGAUGGGAUUAGCUAGUAGGUGGGGUAACGGCUCACCUAGGCGACGAUCCCUAGCUGGUCUGAGAGGAUGACCAGCCACACUGGAACUGAGACACAGUCCAG